AAAUUUCUGGAGUUGAAAAAUUAGGAGUUAGGCAAAAAAGUGUGAAAGAGUAAAAUUUUUUGAGUUUAUUUUUAAACUUUAACACAAUUUUGUGUUAUGGGAUACCCCUUGCUGUGUUGUAUUUUGAAGUUCAUUCUCUGGUGUUCAGAAACGUGCUUUAACUCCUUACUGGAGUUAAAUUUUUAGAAAGUCCGCCAUUACACAACUCUGCCGAGCAGCACAUGAGAACUGGAGUUAUGUUCUUCGUUGUGAGGUAGGUAAAAGUGCAUUGUUAUACAAUUCUAAAAGCUUUUUCUAAAUGUUGGAUGUUUUGUAGCAGAAGUGUGUUUUGCUGUAGCUGUUUCAUUUUGUACUGUGAGGCUAGUGACUGCAUGUGGCUAACUUAGCAUAGCAUGUUAGCUUUUCCAAUGUGGCUGUUUUGUGCAGUAUUUUUAAAAAUGUUGUGGAUGUGAACAAGCUAACACUAGCUAAUAAUCUUUUCUUCCCCUGUGUUUCUAAAAAUGUGUGUUCUGCUGUCAAAAACAAGUGGUAGGCCUACUUGAUCACAUGGAGAAACCUGCUGUUCACAUUUCAAAUAGGCUAACUUACACAACAAGGCCACGAUGCUGAUAAAAGUGCAAUUUGGAGGCAAGAAAAAAUAUAUUAAACUGGAAGAAGAUUGUUUCUUGGAUUUUUUCAGUGCGGUCCAGCACAAGUUUGUGAUACCAGAGGAUACAGCAUCGAAAGUCACAGAUGACCAUGGCAUAGAGGUGGAUGAGGAUGUAUUUCAAGAACUUGCAACAACCAAAAAAACAUGUCAUCCACACUAAUGAUGGUAGGUUAUUUAAGAACAUUUUUAUAGAUUUUGAAAGUUGGUCUCAUGACUCAGAGUGAAAGUGUGCAUUUCAGAACCAUUUGCUGAGACGUGUUGAUGUUGUUGUUUUUUCAUCAGAUUUGACUGUCCUGCAGCAAGGGGCUGUUGAAGUGCCAUCCUCCCCAAGUCUGACAGAUACAAUGUCUAUGUCAAGCAGUUUGAGCAGCAGUGAUUCUGGAUCUCAAAUUAUUCAACCUUUAAUGGGCAGUGUCCAAAAAAAUGUACUUUUUUUUUAACUUCCAUAUACAUAGAUCUUAUACCGUAAACAUUACAAAAUAACGUUA